UCAGACUCUGGCUUUCUGUGAAUUUAGGAAACUCCUAAUAGUAUCUUUAGUUUUCCAUUUCUUUUCCUUUCAAAGAAAAACAUUUUUCUUUAUCUCUUUAGCAGAAGUGAAGAGUUGCUUGGCCUAGGUAAGGUAGCUGUCUUGAAAUAUUUGAAUAUUGUCUGUUUAUGGUGUUUGGACAAGUUAAUAAAAGUAAAUGCAAGUUAUAGAACUCUAAAACCUUUCUUUAUAGGUUGCAGAUUUGGAUGAUGAAUUUGCUGACUUGGUUUUAGAAGAAUUUAGUGAGAAUUUUGAUUUGUUACCAGCUGAAAAGCUACAGACUGCAAUACAUAGAGUGACGCUAGCUCAGACAGCAGUGCCUGUGCUUUGUGGAAGUGCCCUGAAAAACAAAGGGAUACAGCCCUUGUUAGAUGCUGUUACUAUGUACUUGCCUUCACCUGAAGAGUGUAACUGUGAAUUUCU
rnacentral:sRNA from 1 species